rnacentral:piRNA from 1 species
UGAACUACAUUUAUGAGCCUUAUGUCC